UCCAUCCUUUCAGGCCACACAUAUAGUUGUGGAAGCUAUGAAGUCAUUUUUUCAUGAGUCGUGGAAUUCCUGGAGAGUGAUUCCAUACCAAAUUAGAUUGAAUAUGUGGUUUCAAUUUAAGACUAAAUGUGUAUGGCAGCCUCAGCAUGAAAAUCUGGUGAAUAAAAAUUUCGAGAAGAGAGCUUAGAACAGGAUUAAAGAUACUCACUUUGUUGCUCGAAAAGGUGGGAGCAAGCCUUUGUGGUUGCGUGAAGAUAUCUGGAAUCAACUAUUGGCGAAGUGGAAUACCGAAGAAUGGAAGUAGAGGGGUGAAAAGGCGAAGGAAAACAGAGCCUCCAGUAAGGGUGGCUCGUUGCACACCGGAGGUUCAAUCAGUUUUGGGCCCAUCGAUUGAGAUUGAAAAAGGAACAUGGGGAAAAUGUGUUUUAUGCCACUAUUUUUGAGGAGACACAUAAGAAGAAGAAGGAGGAUGGUACAAAAGAAACAUGGGUUGAAGUGCGUGCAUCGGAGACGUAUGAAUGGUAUCACAGAAGAAUGGAGGAGUGGCAACAAACUCAACCCGAUUCUCAGCCGACGCCCGAAGAUAUGACUUCGAUAUGGACACAGGCAAUUCGUGGAGUAAAUAAAGGUAGAGUCUACGGACUUGGAGUAAAGUCGUCAUCCAGCCGCAUGUUUUAGUGGUGCUUCUGCUUCACCCGAAGAAAUUAAAAAAAUACGGAUGCAAAUUAAUGAAUUGUCUCAACAAUGGGAUAAUUCUCAACAAACAAUAAAUAUGAUGCGGACAUUCAGGCAAACCAUGGAAAACACCCUACAAUAGAAGAAUCUAAUAAUGAGGAGACAAAAAUCAGUAAUGAUCGGUAAUAAUUUUGAAUGUAAUAUGAGUUUAGACUUUAUUGGUUUCGGCUUGGUUGGGUUUACACUUGGAUUAUGUG